ACUUUCACCCCCACACACCAGUAACAGAAAAACAGGAUGAGGAGAGGCAAACAAUAUGACACCAAGCAUGAAAUCAGCACUUUUCCAGGAAGGAAAUCUAGAAACCCCCCCUCACUUUUUUCUCCGUAUCACAAACUGUUAAAUGCACAAAGUCAGGUGUUUGCUUGGUUUUUUUCUUCUGAGACCAGCACCUCCAUUUCAUCUAUUCCUCAAGCCUUCCUGUCUGGCCCCCGGCUGUGUAGUGAGAACCUGACCUUCUAGAAGCUUUUCUGUUGUGCCGUUCGAAGGCCACAUUAUUUGUAUACUUUUCUCGCCAGUCAAAGAUCUUUCCACAGUUAUCUCCCAGCAGUGAUUCCAGUUCCUGAGACACAAAAGCAUGCAUCAGCCAGUGGCUCUCCUACAAAAUACCUUUGAUGUUGUUAGGACAUGUCUAAUCUUUUUCUGUAUGUGACUGAGAAAAGAGACCCAGGUGUUGCUAGUUACUUUGGAUACGGCAGAUAUACUUUACUCCCAUCACACUCCAAUAACAUCUUGCUGGGAAUCAGAUGGAAGGACCUGUAUUUCCACAAGAGCCCUGUAUCAGCUGAUGAUCUUUGUGGGAUUUUGAGCAUCAACCGAUAGAUCAUCAGAGGAUAGUCUGUGCAAAAGUGAAAGAUGUGAAAGAUGACCAUUUUGGAUUCUGUGAGGGGGAGACUUGCUCUGAUUACAGUUCGCUACAGAAAGAGCAGUUCUUGUUACUUACAGGUCCAGGAGUAGAAUGAGGGCUGGGAGUGAUCACCAAGAGCAGACAGACCUCGUGAAUUCACCUGACUGAGGAACUGUCUGUAUGU